GAGAAAUUAGUUAAUUAAUAACACCACCUUGUCAAGAUGAAGUAAUGAGUUAGGUCCUCGUAUUUCUCU
rnacentral:tRNA from 1 species